AUGGACGCAGCCAGCGACGGCAUGCGCUUGCCCUACGACGUGCUCCUCGACAUCCUCCGCCGCCUGCCAGGGCGCGACGUUUGUGCAUCCCAGUGCGUGUGCCGCGCGUGGCGCGACAUCAUCAACGAUGAUCAUUGGCUCUCCCUUGAGCGCUACUUCCCUCGGCGCGCCUUUCCCGGACUCUUCGUCAACAAGACUGGGUGCCGCUCCGAUACGUCCUUCUUCGCACCGCCGGCCACCCGCGGCGCGUCUGGCUUCCGGGGACCCGUCUACCCGCACCGGGCGAUAGUAUUCCAGUCCUGCAACGGCCUCCUCUUCCUCGAGGAGUGGGACUAUUAUGUGCUCAACCCGGCGACGGCACGGUAUGCCCGUUUGCCGCGGCCGUCGAAGCCGUGGUGCAGCUAUGGCGUAUCCUUGGCUUUCGACCCUGCCGUGUCGCUGCACUACCAUGUUUUCCUCUUUCCGAAGGGUGGUCUGCUCAAGGAGCCAUUAAUGGCCACUAGCACGCAAGGUCAGGUUCCGCCAUUCGGGGAAGCACACGCGGAGGAGUUCGAGGAGCCCAAGAAAAAUGUGUUAUCAAUGUUAAUGUACUCGUCAUGCACAGGGCGGUGGGAGGACCGAGAGUUCAUGCCUGGACUUUGUGCGCCGGGGCACCUCUACGACAUGGUUGACAGAACACCUGAGAGGUACGAGGGUCCAUUUCAUUCAUCUAAUUACUGGCGUGGGUCUCUCUACAUACAUUGCCACAACAGCGUCCUUGUGAUUCUACGCCCCUCAAAGGAAACUUAUGAUAUGCUCCAGCUUCCCGGAGAACCCUGCGGUCCAAAAAGCUUGUACUCGCUUCCCGGAAAUUCGGUCUUAGCAAGCUAUGAGAGAGGGGUACAUUAUGUGGUGACUAACAAUUCAGAGCUUCGAGUAUGGAUGCUAACCGAAUUGACCAAUGGACAACUAGGUUGGGCAUUGGCACACGACGCCGGCCUCAACCUACAUGGCCAUAUGAUUCGUACUCUUAAAAUACAAUCCAAUAUGAUAUGGAGGAUUGUUGGAAGCAAUGGUGGACCAGUCAGCCUGUCCGACGAUGAUGCAGAGGACGAUUGGGCCACACCACAUGACUCUGAAUAUCCAUGGGACUCAGAUGAGGACAACUUCAUCGACAUGGUUGGGGGCGCCGACCAUCAUGAGUCGGUAGAACAGGAUGCCUACUGCACUAUCAUGGGAUUCCAUCCACACAAGAAUGCACUCAUCCUCGAUCUUAACGGUGCGGUGGUAGUGUACCAUCUCGACACGUCGAGGAUGCAGUAUCUAGGAGACGCGGACGAGCUUGAUAAAGACAAUUCGCAAGCAGCUUGUUGUGUCGAGGAUUCGUUCAUUUACCGCCCUUGCUAUAAGGACAUGCUGCCAACAGGGAAAUUACCCAUGCCACCUUAA
rnacentral:rRNA from 1 species